CUCCGCUCCCUCAUUUCCGUUUCUUUUCCCCACAUGAGUCACGAGGGCGGCGGCGGCGGCGAGAUGGCCCUCCGCCCCGGCCCCCCGCAGGCGGCGGCGCCGCUGGAAGACGAGGACGUCCUGGGCGAGAUCCUCGUCCGCCUCCCCCCGCUGCCCUCCUCGCUCGUCCGCUCCGCCGCCGUCUCCAGGCACUGGGGGCGCCUCGCCGCGGACCGCGCCUUCCUCCGCCGCUUCCGCACCCACCACCGGAGGCCCCCCGUCCUCGGCGUCUUCGAGGAGCGCGACGGGGAGCUGGUGUUCACCCCGCUCCUCGACGCCCCCGACCGGAUCCCCCGCGAGCGCUUCUCCAUGCGGUUCUGGCACGUGCUCGGUUCCUGGACCUUGCUCGGGUACCGCCACGGCCGCGUCCUCAUGGUCAACCUGGAUCUGGCCCUGCUCCUCGUUUUCGCCCCUAUCGCCGGCGGCCGCCGCGGCCUCCGCGGCGUGGUGAUUCCUCCGGAUUUCGUCGACGGCGAGUACGCCGUCGCCAACGGAGCCGUGCUCUGCGCUGCCGGCGACGAGCAGGGCCACGUGCACGGAGACUGCCACUCGGGCCCCUUCAAGGUGGUUCUGGUGGCCACCAGAGUGGGACACCCGGUCCUAGCCCGGGUAUACUCCUCAGACACCGGUGAGUGGGGAGAUCUUGUCGUAAUGGCGGAACCAUGUGUUGUUAGCAGCUUCCCCUCCACCCUCGUCGGCAAUGCUCUUUACUGGUGGCUCAAAAAGUGUCAGCACGAGGAUGAUGGCAUACUCAAGUUCGAUUUGGAUAGCCAGACACUAUCUGUGAUCAAGAGGCCUAUUUUUAAUCACAUUCCCAGUUGCAGCAUCCGGAUCAUCAGGGGAGAGCAUGGCGGUGUUGGCCUCGCCGUAUGUUGGUACCCGAGGUUCCAAAUCUGGGAACGCAUGGUCAAUAGUCAUGGUACUGCCAUAUGGGUGCUGCGAAAGACGGCUCGCAUGCAUAGUAUGCUCCAGUAUGCUAUGCUGACUAUAGUAGGGUACUCUGAGGAUGGUGAUGCGCUUCUUCUAACAGUGUCCUUCGGUGGGGGUGUGGCCGCCUACAGCUUCAUGCUUCAACUUGAGUCAAUGGAGUGGACGAAUCUUAAUCAAAGUUUUUUGGAGUAUUCCUACCAUCCGUUCGCAUACUUCUAUACUGCAGGUACUGUCAGAGCGUCAAGUACCGCUCCAGCCAUUGAGCCACCACAGCAGCGAAGUACAAUUCCAGCCAUUGUGCCACCACAGCAGUGAAGUACUGGUCCAGCCAUUCCACAGCUGCGGGGUGGUCGCAUGAUUUAGUUGAUCAGUAGGAUUUGCAUCUGCAGCAGAGGCAUAUGUUGUUUAUAGGAUUUUUAAAUUCUUGUAUAUGAAGACCAUAGAAAGUGUAAAAUGAAAAUUUGGAUUUGGUCUCUUAACAGCACUUGGUGGUACGAGUUGAAUCAUAGAACAGGAGGCAGGUAAGUACAGGGGACAGGUAAGCAUUGUUAUUAUGAUCUGUUUGUAGCUUCCUAAAAAUGAGUGUACUGUCAUGGUCAUUUGACACAAUGAAGAAAAAACAAAGGAGUGUAGGCUGAUAGAAAUCGUAAUUGUGAGUUGGCACCUUGCUUUCAACAAAAGUUCAUCUCAUUGCUCCCUAUUUGUACGACAGCAAUACAUAUCAGUAAAAUAAAAGGAUGUUUAUUAGCCAGUUUUAGACGUGGUGGCAUAAUAUUAGUAAAAACUAAAGAAUGCUACUAUUCAUCAGAUUUUCCUUGUGCGAAUAUUUGCGUUGCCUUUUUUGGACCAUAACUUUUUGUUCUUUGGCAGAUGCAUAGUGUGCUACUACAAAAUAUUUACUUGAUCCUUGAUUGAAAUACUUUUAUGAACUGAGAUCUUGCGCUCUGCUUUUACCAAUCAGCCUGUUUGCUUCUUUUCUUACAUGUACUUUAAUUAUACAUUUCUGGAUUUGGUGCUUUAUUUGCUGCAGUUUCCUUGAUUCAGUAGAUGCAUGAUGUGCAUCAAUACGCUGGACUUCAUGAUCGGUUUUCCAUCUCACAUCAAUAGUUUAGGCCACUAUUUGUUUAUCCAUGCAUUUUAGGUAAACAUUGGUGUAGACUUGGUUGUUUUUUUUGGUUGUUUGUGGUAUCCAUUUUCCCCUAUACUAGGUAAUUGCCCGUGCGUUGCAUCUUGCAACGGAGGCAUACAAAAUGUACCACUAAAAUUUUAGUUAGUUUUUUACAUAACAACCAUGAUUUACCUUUAUUGUUAAUGUGAACCUUGAUUUACCAUCUAUUUAUUGUUAAUGUGACUGCAUACUAACUGAUGCAAUAAGCAAAUGUUAAGUGAUAACCUAAUUCUGGAAUAUCAGUUGUGGGAAAGUGCAGCACAAAUUAAUCCUAAUUUAAUUAUUUCCCCAACCUGCUUGGUCCUACAACAGGCAAACAUUAGGUUGCUAGCAACAAAAUGAUAUGCAAGGAAUAAAUUGGAAAGUGCAGCACAAAUUAAUCCUAAUUUAAUUAUUUCCCCAACCUGCUUGGUCCUACAACAGGCAAACAUUAGGUUGCUAGCAACAAAAUGAUAUGCAAGGAAUAAAUUGCAACCCCACAGAAGAGAAAAAAAGGGCUCUUUACCUUCUAUCCUCCCAAUCUGCAAAACAAAUAGAAUUGAGACAUAUUGUGCCAAUUCAAUUACUAAAGCUCAUGUCCAAUUUUGGAAGCUAAUGGCCAAGUAGUUGGCAAUUUUGUUUCUGAUGAGAAAUGCAUUGAUGCAAUUUUGUCCACUUUGGAUCAUUCCCUCUUAACAAAAAUGCCAGUGAUGUUUCUCUGAAUGUAGUAUACUGACCAUUUCAGCAGCAUAAUUUCUCUAGUGACCAUGCAGUAUUCAGUGACUUUUCUAGAUGACUAAUGUGCAGCAUGCAUGGAUGGCUGGGAGACUGGGCAGAGAGAGUUUGUCAUGAAAACUGUUUUUCGCUUUAACUUUCACUUUGUUGUGUUUCCUCUGUCCAUUCUUUCUUCAGUUAAAACUUCACUGCCAAAAACCAGAUUACCUCCUUCCAUGAUCUGCACAAAGGCAUAAGAAUACUAAAGUGUCACCAGACUGAGAGAUGCAAAGUACCAACUGCAUAAAAUCUGUGUCCAAAUCGUUUAGUUAUGGCAAUUACAAAUUUAGUUGUUUAAUAUAUACAAUAAGAAAUUCAGUGUUCUUCCAAUUACAUCAAAUUGGUAGUCAGUUUAUCCCAUGCAGUGCACAGGAAAAUGUCAAAACAAAGGAGAGGUUGAGGCCGUCUACCUUGCAGAGGAGCAAGCCCGUACUUGCUGCUGCCGGUCUUGGCGCCGCCUUCGCAUAGGUGGAGUUCGUCGAGGUCGAGAUCUGCGAGAUCCCCAGAGUGGCGCAUGUCAUAAGAGCAUCAAAAGAAUUCAGAGGAGGGGCUCUGAAUCGAACAUAGAAGAAUCAAAUCUUUUGCUUGCGGCGCCGGAUCAUGAGCCCCCGACGCCAAUCGGCCGGUGCCCCGUCGGCCUCUUUGGGUCAAUGACUUAGCAGACUGAUGCGAAGGCAGAGCCAGCGGGCGAGGAGGUCAAUGUAAGGAACCGGGGGGUGGCGGUGUCGCGCAGCGCGCUUUUGGGUAGCUCGGACAUCGAAGUGGCACCAGCGAGUCGAGGAGAGGAAGGAGGUGUUGAGGUGUGGGGUGGCGGCUGGCUGCAGCGGAUGUCCGGGAGCGGUAGGCGUGGCGGCGGAGAACAGGGUAAGGGUAUUUAGGGUUGACGAGUGGUGUGGGAUGGAAAGAUGAGAGGUGGGCGAUGGAUUCUGCUGGACUUUUUUUUCCUUGCGCGGGUUCUUUUGCCAUCUAGAAAACCGAGUGGGGGAGAGGAGCGGCACGAGGCAGGAUGUGAAACGGAAGAGGCGGACGAAAGGAACGAGCAAAAAGUUUUUUGACGGGAUAGGAAACCUUACUCUUUUUUUGGUAAGUAGAGAUGGUCCGUUUUGUCCUCUAGGAAACCAUUAUUGUUGAGUUGUUCCUUUGUGCUACUGUUCCUCCUUUUGUUUUUCCCCCUUUUGGUGUCUUCCUUCCCUGUUUUGUAGUUCCAUUUUGCACUGGAUUUUGGCAGUGGCAAAGUAAUAAACUUAUCACUGGCGUGCAUUCAUUUGACCUUUUGCUUUGUGCACACAAUCAUGCAUUAAUCUUUGGUUAUGUUGCUAUUAUUCUGUUUAGAGUUUUGCAGUCAGAUGCAUCUUUUGUGAAUAGCUCUUGUAGAGUUAAUCAGUGGGCUAUGGAAAUUUUAUCCCCUCACUCUAUAGGUUGGUUGGUUUGAAGCUUAGCAUAUAUUUUCUCCCUGAAUGCUAUCUAGUAUUUACAAAUAAGAAUGCUCUCAAUAAUAUCCAUGCCUCUAUUUUUUUUUGAAGAUUAAAUUCAGUUAGCUAAGUUUCAUUAUAUGGAUUUCUAACAGUUUAAUCUGCAGAAUGUUUUCAGACUAUCAGCUGAUUUUGCUGUAAGAACGUGAAUCGCAAGAAUCGUCACCUCUGUUUGGUUAAUCUGGCUAAUUUUGCUAUUUCUCCAUUGUUUUGUUGCUUUAAAAGCCAUGUUUGAAUUGUCUUUAUAUUUGAUUAACUGUACUACGUAAUAUUACCUACUUUGGUGAAGUACGGCCUCUAUUGUUUGCUUCUAGUA